UUGUCUGUGAUAAACUUGUGCCGAUCGCAUGUCCCCGUGAUGGCGACAACUCAUUCGGAUGUCUGUCCUAUCAACUUUCGAUGCUAUUUUCCAUGCCUACCAUGGUGACCACGGGUAACGGGGAAUCAGGUUUCGAUUCCAGAGAGUGAGCCUGAGAAACGGCUACCAUAUGCAAGGAAGGCAGCAGGCGCACAAAUUACCCACUCCCGACGAGGGGAGGUAGUGACGACAA